GUCUAUGUAGUUUAAUAUUAGAAUACUUAACUUGUAAUUAAGAGAUGGGUUCCCCAUAGACA
rnacentral:tRNA from 1 species